rnacentral:rRNA from 1 species
CCUACGGGAGGCUGCAGUGAGGAAUAUUGGUCAAUGGACGCAAGUCUGAACCAGCCAUGCCGCGUGCAGGAAGACGGCCCUAUGAGUUGUAAACUGCUUUUGUACGAGGGUAAAUCCCGAUACGUGUACCGGGUUGCAAGUAUCCUACGAAUAAGGAUCGGCUAACUCCGUGCCAGCAGCCGCGGUAAUACGGAGGAUUCAAGCGUUAUCCGGAUUUAUUGGGCUUAAAGGGAGCGUAGGCGGGCGUUCAAGUCAGCUGUAAAAUCGCGCGGCUCAACCGCCCCCCGCAGUUGAUACUGGACGCCUUGAGUUCACAACAGGCAGGCGGAAUUCGUGGGGUAGCGGUGAAAUGCAUAGAUAUCACGAGGAACCCCGAUUGCGAAGGCAGCCUGCCGGGGUGCGACUGACGCUGAGGCUCGAAGGUGCGGGUAUCAAACAGGAUUAGAUACCCCAGUAGUC